rnacentral:rRNA from 1 species
UCAGCUCGUGUCGUGAGAUGUUGGGUUAAGUCCCGCAACGAGCGCAACCCUUGUGAUUAGUUGCCAGCGGGUAAUGCCGGGAACUCUAAUCAGACUGCCCAGAUCAACUGGGAGGAAGGUGGGGACGACGUCAGGCCAGUAUGGCCCUUACGCCUAGGGCUGCACACGUACUACAAUGCCCAGCACAAUGAGAACCGAGA